GAAAAGAGGAAUAUGUGGAUGAGUUUUGCACCUUAAACUGCCUCAUACCUCAAGCCACAGCAUUUGCGGCUCCCCCAUGCCCCCCUCCCAUCCCCUUCUUAGGAGAGCCUUUAAUAUGUAAAUGCCAGUGAUCAGGUCGGGAGCUGCUACAGUCAAUUUCAAGUGGGGUGGGGUGGGGUGAGGUCAGGUGGGUGGGAGGGAGUGGGGGGUCGGCAGGCCUGUUUCUAGGAUUUUGGGGUCCCUAGGCAACGGGAUUGUUGGGGGCCCUAGGGCAUUUUUUGGCCUUUUACUAAAAUGUGUGUGUGUGUGUGUGUGUGUGUGUGUGUGUGUGUGUGUGUGUGUGUGUGUGUGUGUGUGUGUGUGUGUGUGUGUGUGUGUGUGUGUGUGUGUGUCUGUAUGUAUGUUUGUUCACGCUGCCCAGUGGUGUUUUUCAGAAUCACUAACCAUUAAACCAGGGGUAGUGAACCUAUGUCUCGAGGGCCCUUGAGGCCGUUUUAUCCGGCCCCUGAUAUCAUUAUAAUGUUUUGCAACUUCACAUGAAAUAGGCCUAUGACAUAUUUUGCAGGCCUAAAGGAAUCUUAGAAAUUACAUUUCCAAUGCAAUUAAGUUAGGCCUAUAUUCAGGGGACCUAGAAAAGGUGGGGACUGUUUUAAAUGUGUCUACCUUUAAAGGUGUCUAUAUGUCUAUAUAGGCCUAAAGGUGUCUAUAUAUGCCUAAAUUUCAUGGGGAAAUCCUGAUUUGUGUUCAUAGUACGGCCCCCGGAGGAUUUUAUGACCAUGGUAGGAAUUUGAAGUGGCCCUUCGAAUGAAAAAGGUUCCCCACCCCUGCAUUAAACCUUUCUUCUAGCCACAGCUCUGCUGUCAGUACAUUUUAUUAUGAUACUAUAAGCUCAGAAAUGAAGUUGAUCGAACAAUUCGAUCGGUGCUAUAAACAUUUAAAUGAACCGAAUAGAAAUCAGAAUAGAAACAUCUGAAUGAUCUUUCUUGGACAUAGCCUACAUUUUGAAGUGACCCUUUGAAUUAAAAAGGUUCCUCACCCUUGCUUUUGAGGAAAAAACAUCAAUGUGCUUGGCCACUCUGGUUUUUAAAUUAUUCUGAACUAAAGCAAGGAUUGUUCAAGGAAGUUCAAAACAGACUGUCUCUGGUUAAAUUAGUUCUACACCAAGCCUUUAGGUGGCAGUACAACUAAUUCGCACAAUGCGAAUUCCACACACAAGCCACAAAGAAGCCAUCUACCGCGGUCAACAACACCGACCUAUCUGAACAGAACCACGCGCUGUCUGUGUGGUUUCACUGUUACAAGUUUCUUGGCGACAUGGGGGAAAGUUCCUCACAUACCAACGGAAAAUGGGCUUCACAUACAUGUAAGUAAAUUUUACUCAACUGUGGUUUAAAGUUUCAGUACUCAAGAGCGAUUGAAUAGCUCCUCUGAACACAGAUCCGCCAUUGCUAAGUUGUAGCACAAGUCCCCUCAAUGAAUGUGACUACUCUUGUUGCUGCUGUACGCUAGUCAAUUCUGAUAACUUGCGAGCAUCGUAAUGACAAAAUGCAGUAGUGAAACGGUGAAUAUGUUAAGUAUACUUGUUGAUGGUAAGUUGUUUGACAUUGCUCGUUCUCAAUUGCCUUUCCCCUGCCUAAAGAUGAUUCCCAGUUUGUCGCUCCCAGCGCGGUUCGAUCCCCAGUCGGUUCGCUCCCACUAGCCAGACUAUCGAGCCCACCGAGCUAGUUAUCUUUUUGAUGUUAGUUUUUUGUUACGUACCCUAAACCUAACCCUUACCUUAAUCCUAAACCUAACCCUAAAUUGCUUGUAUGUGGUAGUGUAUGAUAAUACGAGAAAUGUAAUCGGGUGGGAUAGAACGCCUGGGAUUGAUAGGGUCACCUGGGACUACACGUCCGGGAGUGAUCUUACAUGGGAGUGACCAUCUCCCAGCGCUUAAGAUUGACAAAGGCUACCGUUAGCAUGCUAUUGCGUUAGCUCAUCAACUAGUUGCUGGGCACUGCUCAUUUUUCACGUCUGCCCGGCAUUUCGCUGAUGAACUAACGCUUGGACGUCUUGCCAAUGUAUUUUACAGCGGCAAAAAUGCAUCUAGGCGACGUUGGCAAGAUUGGUGUGCCGUCUGGGUAUGUUGGUUUUCAGUGCUGGGCAGUAGCGAAGCGACUAGUUUAAUUACAUUCCCUAGUAGCUUGGUCGUAGCGUCAUUACUAUGUAUCGACUAACGUCCCUGUAGUUAGGAAAUAAAUAGUUUGGAAAUCAAUGUGAAAUACCCUGGCAUUUGCAACAGUAGGCAACCUGUCCUUAAAAAGUAUGGGCCCUCAAAACAGCACUUGUUGCACAAAUAAGUGUUGCAUAGAGCAGUCUUUCCCAACCAGGGGUACGUGUACCACUUGUUGCACAAAUAAGUGUAGCUGGCCUCUUCAAGAAAUUGAAAUUAUGCAUGGUCACUUUUUCUUAUUGUUUCACGUGGAGGUCUACUGACAUUGUCUAAAUAAUGUAGGCUAGUUUAUGUCCAUGUAUUAUAUUAGGACCCAAGGUUAAUGGGUUAUUCUGUUUACCAUGUUUUCACAGGCUGCUGUCUCAUAAUAUGGCGAAGACGAGUCACUUGAAGGCCUAACAGCUCUUAUGAGGAGCAGUCUUGCCAUAGAAGACUGAAAGAAUGAGCUGUAGAAACAACAGGGUGCCUGCUGCAGUAUGACGAGGACGCCCUGAUCAUAGAAGGUCCAGUGUCUUGGCAGGGUGAAAUGGCACUGAUAUCGUGUCCUGCAGGAUGCUGUGUCCUGCAAUCCUGUGUGCUGUGCUACAGACGCGUGUGGAGGUCAACCCGAAAUGGGCACAGUAGCGUGAAAGAGGAUCCUGGCAGGGAGACGGUAGUGUCCUGCAGGAUGGUGAUGGGCAAUCUUACAAGAGACCACAGAAAACUGAUAUAGUCUCCCAGAAGUGAGACUGAGUGCCUGUUGCAGUAUGACGAGGAAGCAGUGACCAGAGACCUUCAGUAGACCCUGCUGGCAUGAUUGGCGGCUGAAGAACAUAAUCAACAGCAAUGUUUAUAAUAUUGUACAUACCUGUAUAGUCUGCACUAAAAUGCUGUACCUGUACUAUUUUUCCUCUUACUUUCAUAUUUACUAUGAAUUGACAACUUUUACUCAAAUCCAUUUUUGUAUGUGCCCUGACUAAAACUAUCCUUAAACCUAACCUGUCAGAGGUGUAAUAACAACCUGCUCUUAGCAAUGUGGCAGCAGUCUACUUGGAUGCAGCGGGGAACAUAGAACCCUUUUUUUGAAAAAGCAUUGUAUGUUUCUGAGUUUUAUGAAUUGUGCCCUUCCCAAACCUAACCUGUCGUAGGGGCCUAUGAAAUC